UGAACGCUAGCUACAGGCUUAACACAUGCAAGUCGAGGGGAAACGGCAUCGAGUGCUUGCACUUGAUGGACGUUCGACCGGCGCACGGGUGAGUAACGCGUAUCCAACCUGCCCAUCACUCGGGAAUAACCUCUCGAAAGAGAGCCUAAUGCCCGAUGCAUUCCAUUAGAGGACAUCUGAAGUGGAACAAAGAUUCAUCGCUAUGGGAUGGGGAUGCGUCUGAUUAGCUUGUUGGCGGGGUAACGGCCCACCAAGGCAACGAUCAGUAGGGGUUCUGAGAGGAAGGUCCCCCACAUUGGAACUGAGACACGGUCCAAACUCCUACGGGAGGCAGCAGUGAGGAAUAUUGGUCAAUGGGCGAGAGCCUGAACCAGCCAAGUAGCGUGCAGGAUGACGGCCCUAUGGGUUGUAAACUGCUUUUAUAGGGGGAUAAAGUGUGCCACGUGUGGCAUAUUGCAGGUACCCUAUGAAUAAGGACCGGCUAAUUCCGUG
rnacentral:rRNA from 1 species